rnacentral:rRNA from 1 species
AGUGAACGCUGGCGGCGUGCCUAAUACAUGCAAGUCGAACGAAGUGGCGCACGGGUGCGUAAUAUAUAGUUAAUCUGCCCUACACAGCGGAACAACAGUUGGAAACGGCUGCUAAUACCUCAUAGUGUAGGAUGAGACUAUAUCGUAUCAGCUAGUUGGUAAGGUAAUGGCUUACCAAGGCUAUGACGCGUAACUGGUCUGAGAGGAUGAUCAGUAACAUUGGAACUGAGACACGGUCCAAACUCCGACGGGAGGCAGCAGUAAGGAAUAUUGAGCAAUGGGGGAAACCCUGACGCAGCAAAGACGCGUGGAGGAUGACACUUUUCGGAGCGUAAACUCCGUUUAUCAGGAAAGCGGUACCUGAUGAAUAAGCACCGGCUAACUCCGUGACAGCAGCCGCGGUAAUUC